UGGGGAAUAUUGCACAAUGGGCGCAAGCCUGAUGCAGCCAUGCCGCGUGUGUGAAGAAGGCCUUCGGGUUGUAAAGCACUUUCAGCGAGGAGGAAGGGUUCAGUGUUAAUAGCACUGUUCAUUGACGUUACUCGCAGAAGAAGCACCGGCUAACUCCGUGCCAGCAGCCGCGGUAAUACGGAGGGUGCAAGCGUUAAUCGGAAUUACUGGGCGUAAAGCGCACGCAGGCGGUUUGUUAAGUCAGAUGUGAAAUCCCCGC
rnacentral:rRNA from 1 species